rnacentral:rRNA from 1 species
GUACACGCUGUGACUAGCAUAUCAAUAAGCGGAGGAAAAGAAACUAACAAGGAUUCCCUCAGUAACGGCGAGUGAAGCGGGAAGAGCUCAAAUUUGAAAUCUUGAAAGGUCACCUUUCACGAAUUGUAGUUUAAAGAAGUGUUUUCUGUUACGAUCGUAAUAUAAGUUCUUUGGAAUAGGACAUCACAGGAGGGUGAGAAUCCCGUCUAUGAUUGCGAUUUGUAGCUUUGUGAUACACUUUCAAAGAGUCGGAUUGUUUGGGAAUGCAGUCCCAAAACGGGAGGUAAAUUUCAUUCUAAGGCUAAAUAUUGGCGAGAGACCGAUAGCGAACAAGUACCGUGAGGGAAAGAUGAAAAGAACUUUGAAAAGAGAGUUAAACAGUACGUGAAAUUGUCAAAAGGGAAGCGUUUGACACCAGUGUUGUUUUCUCGAAAAUCAAUUAAAAAUGGCUCGAUUUCGUAUUGCUUGAGACCUUAAAAGCUCACUGUACAUUUUUCGUGUCUUUUUUAAUGCACUUUUCGUUUAACAAGUCAACAUCAGUUUCUUUUGUUGUAAAAGGGUCAUUGGAAGGUGGCUUUCUUUUCGGAGAAAGUGUUUAUAGCCUUUGGCCUCUGCAAUCGGAGAGACUGAGGUCUGCAGCGUAGACUCUUCGGGGUUAGAUACAUUUGUGCUAAGUUAUAGCUUUUUAUAGACAACUUGUUGACUAUAAUUAGUCUUGUAGCUUACUCGCUUAUGCUAUUUUACCUACGCUUAGGAUGUUGAGUAGCGACAUACGCAC